AUCUAAUCUGAAAAUCAUGCUAAGGAUCUUGACACGAACUUGCUACUUUGAUCUGAAAUCUGAAAAAAAAUAAACAUCAGCAAAAUAAAAUCGGAGAUCAGAUCUCCAUACCUUCAGAUCCUGUAGAUCUCUGAGAUUCUGAUCAUAGCCGCACACACAACUGACCUUUGCUAGUAUCCAUAUAGAGAUAUCUGAUCAGAGCACCAAGAUCACCGAUGUGCUAGCACCUUGCAGAUCUUUCUCCUCAGCCAUGGAUCUGUAUCUCUUUUUCAAGAUCUCGAAGAAGAUGAUUGCUGCGCGAACUCCUUCGUGCAGAUCUGACAGAAUCUGAA
rnacentral:lncRNA from 1 species